AGCUCAAUUGCUAGGUUGUAUGAUAAUUGAUGAGCUUUAUAAGAAACUACAAAGCUGCUUUCCAGACUGACUGUACCAUUUUACAUUUCUGCCAAUGAU
rnacentral:pre_miRNA from 1 species